rnacentral:rRNA from 1 species
GACGAACGCUGGCGGCGCGCCUAACACAUGCAAGUCGAACGAGCGAGCGAGAGCUUGCUUUCUCGAGCGAGUGGCGAACGGGUGAGUAACGCGUGAGGAACCUGCCUCAAAGAGGGGGACAACAGUUGGAAACGACUGCUAAUACCGCAUAAGCCCACGGUGCCGCAUGGCACAGAGGGAGAAGGAGCAAUCCGCUUUGAGAUGGCCUCGCGUCCGAUUAGCUAGUUGGUGAGGUAAUGGCCCACCAAGGCGACGAUCGGUAGCCGGACUGAGAGGUUGAACGGCCACAUUGGGACUGAGACACGGCCCAGACUCCUACGGGAGGCAGCAGUGGGGAAUAUUGCACAAUGGGGGAAACCCUGAUGCAGCGACGCCGCGUGGAGGAAGAAGGUCUUCGGAUUGUAAACUCCUGUUGUUGGGGAAGAUAAUGACGGUACCCAACAAGGAAGUGACGGCUAACUACGUA